rnacentral:rRNA from 1 species
AUGAUUUCUAAUGACUUAACCUCUACUCCUAGUGUGUUUUCUUCUUUGGUGCUAGGUCCCAUAUAUGAUGACGCGUCGAUUCGCGAUGACUACGUCCUCCCUUUGGACACGACGAUGGCCAUGGCGGAACAUGAUGCACCCCCUACAUGGUUCCAUCAAGAUGAAGAUGACCACCAUUUGGUCUUUCCCACCUCACCUACACCACUUGAGUGGAAUGACAAAGGUAACAAAGGUGACGGUGAUGCUCUUGUCCCACUAGCGGACUCUCUUGACAACGAUUGCUCCCAUGACGUUGACCCACCUAUUACCAUGCUUCAUGCUAGUGAAACUUCUUCAUGCCUUGACUUACCUAUUUAUGAUGAAUAUGAUGAUGAGCAUGUUGAGUUGCCUAGUUGUGAUGCUAUGCUUCAUAGGAUAUCUUGUGAAAAUUCUAUUGGUCACAUCAUGUUUGACAAUCCAUUGAACUUGUCAUAUGCUAUGAGUGAGAUCUCCCAUAUUGCAUCAUUUCAAUCUCAACAUAGUAACUAUGCAUGCCCCAUUAAAAUAAAUCCCAUUUGCACUUAUGGCAUAGAUGACGAAAUGAUGGUCAUUGGCUUUUGUGAUGAUAUUGCCAUGCUUCCUUUACAUGAUUUGCGCAAUUCAUCUACUAUGUCAUGCCAUGAUCACAUUGUUCCAAAUAUGCAUUGUUUUGGAUGUUGUCAAUAUUCUCCAUGUGAUGUUACCACUAUUGCUCAUGAGGAGACCCCCAUAGUUUCCUCAUACAUAUUAGGAGAUCUUGAUACAUUUCAUACUUUGCAUGAUUUCCAUGAUUGCUUGCACCAUAUGCAUUCCAUGAAUAACAAUGCUCUAGAUAUUUCCCAUGAUGCAUUACAUCCUUUGAGUCUCCAUUAUGCCAUACAUAAUAACAAACCUCUCAUGAUGGAUGACAUGUUUCUAUAUCACGCAUCUCAUUUAUUUGAGCAUUGGCUAUUCUGUGCUCACCGACACAUGCAUGUGCGCAUCAUGAUGGAUGAUGUGUACAUCUACCACGCACACACAAUUUUUCCUUUGUCUUUGUUUUGUGUAGGUACCCAUGAAUACUUGUCAACCUCGCAAUCCCACGAGUUGACAAAACGAGAUCUUGAGAGCAAUGACGAUUUGGGAUCCCGUGGACUAUCCUCACCAUCGGCCCCUUCGCGCAAGGACUAUGCGCAACUCCUCUACUUGGCUCUCACACGGCUAUGGGCCAUUUACCACUUCUCACAUUAUGCUCAUUUUACCGUGUUCACUUUGCAUGCUAUGCUUGCUCCUAUGCCUUUACCAUGCAAUUGUGACCCUUGCUUGCAUUUAUCCAUGAUGCACCAUUAUGAUAUUCCUAUGUGUAUUUGCAUGCUUGGUGGAGAUCCUUGUUGCUAUUGCCAUGUUUAUCAUGUGCCCCAUGCCAUUCUACUCAUAUCUUGCCUUUAUGCUUGUGAUAUGUCAUGUGCAUUAUUCAUGCCCACUAUUUGCACACAUGACAUGCUUGCCAUGAUUCCUCCUAGUAUGUUGCAUCUUCGCACUACUAGCUUGCUUGACUUGAUUGCUAUGAUUGCUUGCUAUGUUGCAUCACCCAUGUUCCACUAUUACUUGCUUUCUUGGGUUGAUGACAUAUAA